GGGGUUGUGGCUCAGUGGUAGAGUGCUUGCCUAGCAUGCGUGAGACACUAGGUUCGAUUCUCAGCACCA
rfam:Ictidomys tridecemlineatus contig013052, whole genome shotgun sequence.